rnacentral:rRNA from 1 species
AUGAACGCUGGCGGCGUGCCUAAUACAUGCAAGUCGAGCGAACGGACGAGAAGCUUGCUUCUCUGAUGUUAGCGGCGGACGGGUGAGUAACACGUGGAUAACCUACCUAUAAGACUGGGAUAACUUCGGGAAACCGGAGCUAAUACCGGAUGAUAUUUUGAACCGCAUGGUUCAAAAGUGAAAGACGGUCUUGCUGUCACUUAUAGAUGGAUCCGCGCUGCAUUAGCUAGUUGGUAAGGUAACGGCUUACCAAGGCAACGAUGCAUAGCCGACCUGAGAGGGUGAUCGGCCACACUGUAACUGAGACACGGUCCAGACUCCUACGGGAGGCAGCAGUAGGGAAUCUUCCGCAAUGGGCGAAAGCCUGACGGAGCAACGCCGCGUGAGUGAUGAAGGUCUUCGGAUCGUAAAACUCUGUUAUUAGGGAAGAACAUAUGUGUAAGUAACUGUGCACAUCUUGACGGUACCUAAUCAGAAAGCCACGGCUAACUACGUG